GGACUACUGGGGUAUCUAAUCCUGUUCGCUACCCACGCUUUCGCUUCUCAGCGUCAGUUACUUCCCAGAGACCCGCCUUCGCCACCGGUGUUCCUCCUGAUAUCUGCGCAUUUCACCGCUACACCAGGAAUUCCAGUCUCCCCUGAAGUACUCUAGUCUGCCCGUAUCGACUGCAGGUCCACGGUUGAGCCGUGAAUUUUCACAAUCGACGUGACAGACCGCCUACAAGCUCUUUACGCCCAGUAAUUCCGGACAACGCUCGCACCCUACGUAUUACCGCGGCUGCUGGCAC
rnacentral:rRNA from 1 species